rnacentral:rRNA from 1 species
AGGUUAAGCUCUUUAGUAGCGGAGCCGUAGCGAAAGCGAGUCUGAAUAGGGCGCUUAGUCAGUGGGGGUAGACGCGAAACUUUGUGAUCUAUCCAUGGGCAGGUUGAAGGUGUGGUAACACACACUGGAGGACCGAACGCGUAAACGUUGAAAAGUUUUGCGAUGACCUGUGGAUAGGGGUGAAAGGCCAAUCAAACUGAGAGAUAGCUCGUUCUCCCCGAAAUGUUUUUAGGAACAGCCUCGGAUCAUAGACGUUUAGUACAGGUAGAGCUACUGAUUGGACUAGGGGGCUUCACCGCCUACCAAAUCCUGACAAACUCCGAAUGCUAUAAGAUAUACUCAGCAGUGAGGGCAUGGGUGCUAAGGUCCAUGUCCGAGAGGGAAAGAACCCAGACCAUCAGCUAAGGUCCCCAAAUGUAUGCUAAGUUGAAAAAACGAGGUUUGUCUGCCCAGACAGCUAGGAUGUUGGCUUGGAAGCAGCCAUUCAUUUAAAGAGUGCGUAACAGCUCACUAGUCGAGCGGACGAGCAUGGAUAAUAAUCGGGCAUAAGUAUACUACCGAAGCUAUGGAUUUACAGAUUACUGUAAGUGGUAGGGGAGCAUUCUAACAUCAGCGAAGGUGUGUCGUAAGGCAUGCUGGAGAGGUUAGAAAAGAAAAUGUAGGCAUAAGUAACGAUAAUGCGGGCGAGAAACCCGCACACCGAAAGACUAAGGUUUCCUCAGCUAUGCUAAUCAGCUGAGGGUUAGUCGGGUCCUAAGGCGAAUCCGAAAGGAACAGUCGAUGGCCAACGGGUUAAUAUUCCCGUACUUGUAUUAAUUGUGAUGGGGUGACGGAGUGAUGAAAGCGCCGCGAACUGACGGAAUAGUUCGUUAAAGUACCUACCUAUAAGAUCCGCAGGCAAAUCCACGGAUUUUGGGGAAAUACGAUAGUACACGGAGUCUUCGGACAAAGUGAUAGUGCGCCUAAGGGCUUCCAAGAAAAACCUCUAAACUUAGAUUGAUACAACCCGUACCGUAAACCGACACAGGUAGUCGAGGAGAGAAUCCUAAGGUGCUCGAGAGAUUCAUGGCUAAGGAAUUAGGCAAAAUAGACCUGUAACUUCGGGAGAAAGGUCGCCUCGUUGGAGACAACGAGGCCGCAGUGAAAAGGUCCAGGCGACUGUUUAUCAAAAACACAGGGCUCUGCCAAAUCGUAAGAUGAAGUAUAGGGCCUGACACCUGCCCGGUGCUGGAAGGUUAAGAGGAGAUGUUAUCUUCGGAGAAGCAUUGAAUUGAAGCCCCAGUAAACGGCGGCCGUAACUAUAACGGUCCUAAGGUAGCGAAAUUCCUUGUCGGGUAAGUUCCGACCUGCACGAAUGGUGUAACGAUCUGGACGCUGUCUCAACCAUGAGCUCGGUGAAAUUGUAGUAUCGGUGAAGAUGCCGAUUACCCGCAACGGGACGGAAAGACCCCGUGAACCUUUACUAUAGCUUAGCAUUGAGUUCUGGUACUGGAUGUGUAGGAUAGGUGGGAGACUGUGGCAAGGUAUCGUGACUGGGAAAC